CGUCUGAAGCAGCUGCGCAGGAGGUGGGUAAUCACUCACAGACGGCCCAGAUCGGCGGUUGGGAAGAGGCGGAGGCGCUGUAGACCUCGGAAAGGGGUGAUGGUGUCUUCGCCGCUGACUUCCCGGUUUUCUUUCGUCGCUUCGUUCCAGCCAUCAUCGAUACUGGCGGUGGUUUCAGAGAGAUGAAAUUGAGAGGUCUAGGGUACUUGAUGAUUUUUUUUUAUCCAGUCCCGACACUUGACGAUAUUUAGUAAAUAAGAGAAGAUUUUCGGCUUUUGCGGGUUAGUUUUGGUUGGGGGGUAAUAAUU
rnacentral:lncRNA from 1 species